CUAUGUUUCCAGUGUCCUCUGGGUGUUUCCAAGAGCAACAAGAAACGAAUAAAUCUCUGCCAUAGGAGUUUUAGCCAAUUCAGAGGCCUUGCUGCCCACAAUUUGGAAAAUUCCUUUGGAUUUGACCAAGUCAGGAAGAGACGGGAGAAAAGUGAAACAACAACAAUAAAGCCCCAAGCAUAAACAGACAAAAAGAGUUAAGCAAAACAACAAAUGCACAAUUCAUAUGAUUACUGAGUGUUCUAAUGGUAAGGAGAAACUAAAAGCAGAAAUUAAAAGCAGCUGGUGAGUAAUCUUAAAUUUUAGUCAUUAAGGAAAAAUUUUAAGACAAAACUCUAAUUCAGCUACUUACCUGGAAACAAGGCUCAGGCUGGGGAUCGUUCUCUGCCAUCUUAGAAGCUGGAAACAACUUACACUCACCUUCCCUGUCAGAAGCAAGCUGAAACUCAGGAAAGGAGGUGCCUGCUCUCCAUCACCACAGAAGCAGGAAAACUUGCCUUCCUUGUUGGAAAUGAGUAAAACUUCAGAAAAGGAGUUGUACAGCAAAAUCAAACUUAGAUCUCAACCAGAUUUUGGGAGAUCAGGGACUCUUUGCAGGGGAGAAGCUCCACAACCUCAGCAAAUUAUCCUGUUGGUUUGGGCAAUAAAGAUAGCCCAGAAAGCCAGUUUUCAAGCUCUGGGAUUCUUUCCUCUGCUUGGUCUAUUCUGCUGGGUGGUCUUGCACAUGAGAUGGAGCUGGUGUGACCUCAGCCCUCCUUAGUCUGCUUGCCUCUCCCAGGACCCCAGCCUGGCCACACCUGCUUACAGGGCAAUCUCGGGUGCCCACA
rnacentral:lncRNA from 1 species